GAUGAACGCUAGCUACAGGCUUAACACAUGCAAGUCGAGGGGCAGCGGGAUUGAAGCUUGCUUCAAUUGCCGGCGACCGGCGCACGGGUGAGUAACGCGUAUCCAACCUUCCGUACACUCAGGGAUAGCCUUUCGAAAGAAAGAUUAAUACCUGAUGGUAUGAUGAGAUCGCAUGGUAUCAUCAUUAAAGAUUUAUCGGUGUACGAUGGGGAUGCGUUCCAUUAGGUAGUAGGCGGGGUAACGGCCCACCUAGCCUACGAUGGAUAGGGGUUCUGAGAGGAAGGUCCCCCCACAUUGGAACUGAGACACGGUCCAAACUCCUACGGGAGGCAGCAGUGAGGAAUAUUGGUCAAUGGACGAGAGUCUGAACCAGCCAAGUAGCGUGAAGGAUGACUGCCCUAUGGGUUGUAAACUUCUUUUAUACGGGAAUAAAGUGAUCCACGUGUGGAUUUUUGUAUGUACCGUAUGAAUAAGGAUCGGCUAACUCCGUGCC
rnacentral:rRNA from 1 species